CAACUUGAAACUACUACUUGUAGCCACAACUGAAUUUAGGUUUCCUCUUGUUUAGAGUUGACAACAACACAACUACUAUUACUACUACUUGUAGCACAACUUGAGACUACUACUUGUAGCACAACUAAACUACUACUUGUAGCACAACUAAUUUAUAUGUUUCUUCUCUUUUAGAGUUGACAACAACACAACAACAACAACUACUACUACUACUACUACUUGUAGCACAACUUGAAUUUAUGUUUUUUCUACUACACAACUUGAGACUACUACUUGUAGCACAACUUGAAUUUAGGUUUCCUCUUUCUUAGAGUUAACAACAGCAGAACUACUGCUACUAUUACUAUUUUGUUUUGCUUAGACAUGACAACAACACAACUACUACUACUAGUAGCACAACUUGAAUUUAAAUUUCUUCUUGUUUAGAAUUGACAACACAACUACUACUUCUUGUAGCACAAAUUGAAAUUACUACUUGUAGAACAACUUUAAACUACUACUUGUAGCCACAACUGAAUUUAGGUUUCCUCUUGUUUAGAGUUGACAACAUCACAACUACUAUUACUACUACUUGUAGCACAACUUGAAACUACUAUUUGUAGCACAACUAAUUUAUGUUUCUUGUCUUUUAGAGUUGACAACAACACAACUACUACUGCUACUUGUAGCACAACUUGAAUUUAGGUUUCCUCUUGUUUAGAGUUGACAACAACACAACUACUAUUACUACUACUUUUAGCACAACUUGAAUUUAGGUUUCCUUUUUCUUAGAGUUAACAACAGCAGAACUACUGCUACUAUUACUACUUUGUCUUGCUUAGACAUGCCAACAACACAACUACUACUACUAGUAGCACAACUUGAAUUUAAGUUUUCUCUUGUUUAGAGUUGACAACACAACUACUACUACUUGUAGCACAUCUUGAAACUACUGCUUGUAGAACAACUUGAAACUACUACUUGUAGCACAACUGAAUUUAGGUUUCCUCUUGUUUAGAGUUGACAACAACACAACUACUAUUACUACUACUUGUAGCACAACUUGAGACUACUACUUGUAGCACAACUUGAAACUACUACUUGUAGCACAACUAAUUUAUGUUUCUUCUCUUUUAGAGUUGACAACAACACAACUACUACUACUACUUGUAGCACAACUUGAAUUUAUGUUUUCUCUUAGAGUUAAAAACAGCAGAAGUAUUGCUACUAUUACUACUUUGUCUUGCUUAGACUUGACCACAACACAAUAACUACUACUAGUAGCACAACUUGAAUUUAAGUUUCCUCAUUUAGAGUUGACAACACAACUACUAUUACUUGUAGCACAACUUGAAACUACUGCUUGUAGAACAACUUGAAACUACUACUUGUAGCACAACUGAAGUUAGGUUUCCUCUUGUUUAGAGUUGACAACAAUAGAACAACAACAACUACUACUACUACUACUACUACUACUUGUAGCACAACUUGAAUUUAGGUUUCCUCUUUCUUAGAGUUAACAACAGCAGAACUACUACUACUAUUACUACUUUGUCUUGCUUAGAGUUGACAACAACACAACUACUACUACUA